CCUACGGGAGGCAGCAGUGGGGAAUAUUGCACAAUGGGCGCAAGCCUGAUGCAGCCAAGCCGCGUGUGUGAAGAAGGCCUUCGGGUUGUAAAGCACUUUCAGUCGUGAGGAAGGUAGUGUAGUUAAUAGCUGCAUUAUUUGACGUUAGCGACAGAAGAAGCACCGGCUAACUCCGUGCCAGCAGCCGCGGUAAUACGGAGGGUGCGAGCGUUAGUCGGAAUUACAGGGCGUAAAGCGCAUGCAGGUGGUUUGUUAAGUCAGAUGUGAAAGCCCGGGGCUCAACCUCGGAAUAGCAUUUGAAACUGGCAGACUAGAGUACUGUAGAGGGGGGUAGAAUUUCAGGUGUAGCGGUGAAAUGCGUAGAGAUCUGAAGGAAUACCGGUGGCGAAGGCGGCCCCCUGGACAGAUACUGACACUCAGAUGCGAAAGCGUGGGGAGCAAACAGGAUUAGAUACCCCGGUAGUC
rnacentral:rRNA from 1 species